AAUUUGGGUUUUGAGGUAUUUUCUGGCUGAAAUUAAGGAGCUGGAGCAGAAGUCUGAUUCAGAGACAGAGAAAGCAGUACAGAUGCUGUCUGGAUCUAACCUACCUGCACUCGGAAGAGCUUUCCUGGAGCUAUAGAAGUCCAAAUGGAGCCCUCUCAAAGGCUAUAGAAAGCUGACUUCCAGAUCUUUCCAGCAAUAUGUUAUAGUCCAUACUUUGCUUCAGAUUUGAAGGCCCAAAACUGGCGUCUAACACCAGCUUCCUGCCCCCUUCCUGGCGUCCAGCGCCCAAAAGCAGAGACCAGCGUCCAAACGCCCAAUGAGGACCCUUUAGUUGGUGUUCCACACCCAAGAGACCUUAUAGCACGUGGAUCUCAUCAAAGCUCAGCCCAAACACUCACCAAGUGGGCCCCAAAAAUGGAUUUUAGCACUAAAUAGACUGUUUUACCCUUACUAGUCAUUUGUUUAGUAUUUAA